AUUGAACGCUGGCGGCACGCCUAACACAUGCAAGUCGAGCGGCAGCAUGCUUAGUAGCAAUACUAAGUGAUGGCGAGCGGCGGACGGGUGAGGAACACGUAGGAACCUGCCCAAGAGUGGGGGAUAACUAAGGGAAACUUUAGCUAAUACCGCAUAAUUCUCUGAGGAGAAAAGUUGCCCGUAAGGGUAGCGCUUUUGGAGGGGCCUGCGUCCGAUUAGCUAGUUGGUGAGGUAAUAGCUCACCAAGGCGAUGAUCGGUAACUGGUCUGAGAGGACGACCAGUCACACUGGGACUGAGACACGGCCCAGACUCCUACGGGAGGCAGCAGUGGGGAAUAUUGGACAAUGGGGGGAACCCUGAUCCAGCCAUGCCGCGUGUGUGAAGAAGGCCUUAUGGUUGUAAAGCAUUUUAAGCGAGGAGGAGGCUACUCUAGUUAAUACCUAGGGAUAGUGGACGUUACUCGCAGAAUAAGCACCGGCUAACUCUGUGCCAGCCGCCGCAGUAA
rnacentral:rRNA from 1 species